rnacentral:rRNA from 1 species
UACGUAGGGUGCAAGCGUUGUCCGGAAUUAUUGGGCGUAAAGAGCUCGUAGGCGGUUUGUCGCGUCGAAUGUGAAAACCCGGGGCUCAACCCCGGGCCUGCAUUCGAUACGGGCAGACUAGAGUUCGGUAGGGGAGUCUGGAAUUCCUGGUGUAGCGGUGAAAUGCGCAGAUAUCAGGAGGAACACCGGUGGCGAAGCGGGACUCUGGGCCGAUACUGACGCUGAGGAGCGAAAGCGUGGGGAGCAAACAGG